rnacentral:rRNA from 1 species
GCGAUAAGCGCCGGUAAGGUGAUAUGAACCGUUAUAACCGGCGAUACCCGAAUGGGGAAACCCAGUGUGAUUCGUCACACUAUCAUUAACUGAAUCCAUAGGUUAAUGAGGCGAACCGGGGGAACUGAAACAUCUAAGUACCCCGAGGAAAAGAAAUCAACCGAGAUUCCCCCAGUAGCGGCGAGCGAACGGGGAGGAGCCCAGAGCCUGAAUCAGCAUGUGUGUUAGUGGAAGCGUCUGGAAAGGCGCGCGAUACAGGGUGACAGCCCCGUACACAAAAGCGCAUGUGCUGUGAGCUCGAUGAGUAGGGCGGGACACGUGGUAUCCUGUCUGAAUAUGGGGGGACCAUCCUCCAAGGCUAAAUACUCCUGACUGACCGAUAGUGAACCAGUACCGUGAGGGAAAGGCGAAAAGAACCCCGGCGAGGGGAGUGAAAAAGAACCUGAAACCGUGUACGUACAAGCAGUGGGAGCACCCUUUGGGUGUGACUGCGUACCUUUUGUAUAAUGGGUCAGCGACUUAUAUUCUGUAGCAAGGUUAACCGAAUAGGGGAGCCGGAGGGAAACCGAGUCUUAAC